rnacentral:rRNA from 1 species
GGUUAAGCGACUAAGCGUACACGGUGGAUGCCCUGGCAGUCAGAGGCGAUGAAGGGCGUGCUAAUCUGCGAUAAGCGCCGGUAAGGUGAUAUGAACCGUUAUAACCGGCGAUACCCGAAUGGGGAAACCCAGUGUGAUUCGUCACACUAUCAUUAACUGAAUCCAUAGGUUAAUGAGGCGAACCGGGGGAACUGAAACAUCUAAGUACCCCGAGGAAAAGAAAUCAACCGAGAUUCCCCCAGUAGCGGCGAGCGAACGGGGAGGAGCCCAGAGCCUGAAUCAGCAUGUGUGUUAGUGGAAGCGUCUGGAAAGGCGCGCGAUACAGGGUGACAGCCCCGUACACAAAAGCGCAUGUGCUGUGAGCUCGAUGAGUAGGGCGGGACACGUGGUAUCCUGUCUGAAUAUGGGGGGACCAUCCUCCAAGGCUAAAUACUCCUGACUGACCGAUAGUGAACCAGUACCGUGAGGGAAAGGCGAAAAGAACCCCGGCGAGGGGAGUGAAAAAGAACCUGAAACCGUGUACGUACAAGCAGUGGGAGCACCCUUCGGGGUGUGACUGCGUACCUUUUGUAUAAUGGGUCAGCGACUUAUAUUCUGUAGCAAGGUUAACCGUAUAGGGGAGCCGGAGGGAAACCGAGUCUUAACCGGGCGUUAAGUUGCAGGGUAUAGACCCGAAACCCGGUGAUCUAGCCAUGGGCAGGUUGAAGGUUGGGUAACACUAACUGGAGGACCGAACCGACUAAUGUUGAAAAAUUAGCGGAUGACCUGUGGCUGGGGGUGAAAGGCCAAUCAAACCGGGAGAUAGCUGGUUCUCCCCGAAAGCUAUUUAGGUAGCGCCUCGUGAAUUCAUCUCCGGGGGUAGAGCACUGUUUCGGCUAGGGGGCCAUCCCGGCUUACCAACCCGAUGCAAACUGCGAAUACCGGAGAAUGUUAUCACGGGAGACACACGGCGGGUGCUAACGUCCGUCGUGAAGAGGGAAACAACCCAGACCGCCAGCUAAGGUCCCAAAGUCAUGGUUAAGUGGGAAACGAUGUGGGAAGGCCCAGACAGCCAGGAUGUUGGCUUAGAAGCAGCCAUCAUUUAAAGAAAGCGUAAUAGCUCACUGGUCGAGUCGGCCUGCGCGGAAGAUGUAACGGGGCUAAACCAUGCACCGAAGCUGCGGCAGCGAACGUAUCACCCAAGACAACUUUACGGAGUUGACGAUUGACGGAGCGAAGCGACGUCAAAGCGUUCAUUAAAGUCGAGUUGGCUUAGGGAUACGUUCGUUGGGUAGGGGAGCGUUCUGUAAGCCUGUGAAGGUGUGUCGUGAGGCAUGCUGGAGGUAUCAGAAGUGCGAAUGCUGACAUAAGUAACGAUAAAGCGGGUGAAAAGCCCGCUCGCCGGAAGACCAAGGGUUCCUGUCCAACGUUAAUCGGGGCAGGGUGAGUCGACCCCUAAGGCGAGGCCGAAAGGCGUAGUCGAUGGGAAACGGGUUAAUAUUCCCGUACUUGGUGUUACUGCGAAGGGGGGACGGAGAAGGCUAUGUUGGCCGGGCGACGGUUGUCCCGGUUUAAGCGUGUAGGUGUGUGUUCCAGGUAAAUCCGGUUCACUUUAACACUGAGGCGUGACGACGAGGCACUACGGUGCUGAAGCAACAAAUGCCCUGCUUCCAGGAAAAGCCUCUAAGCAUCAGGUAACAUCAAAUCGUACCCCAAACCGACACAGGUGGUCAGGUAGAGAAUACCAAGGCGCUUGAGAGAACUCGGGUGAAGGAACUAGGCAAAAUGGUGCCGUAACUUCGGGAGAAGGCACGCUGACACGUAGGUGAAGUGAUUUACUCAUGGAGCUGAAGUCAGUCGAAGAUACCAGCUGGCUGCAACUGUUUAUUAAAAACACAGCACUGUGCAAACACGAAAGUGGACGUAUACGGUGUGACGCCUGCCCGGUGCCGGAAGGUUAAUUGAUGGGGUCAGCGUAAGCGAAGCUCCUGAUCGAAGCCCCGGUAAACGGCGGCCGUAACUAUAACGGUCCUAAGGUAGCGAAAUUCCUUGUCGGGUAAGUUCCGACCUGCACGAAUGGCGUAAUGAUGGCCAGGCUGUCUCCACCCGAGACUCAGUGAAAUUGAACUCGCUGUGAAGAUGCAGUGUACCCGCGGCAAGACGGAAAGACCCCGUGAACCUUUACUAUAGCUUGACACUGAACAUUGAGCCUUGAUGUGUAGGAUAGGUGGGAGGCUUUGAAGUGUGGACGCCAGUCUGCAUGGAGCCGACCUUGAAAUACCACCCUUUAAUGUUUGAUGUUCUAACGUGGACCCGUAAUCCGGGUUGCGGACAGUGUCUGGUGGGUAGUUUGACUGGGGCGGUCUCCUCCUAAAGAGUAACGGAGGAGCACGAAGGUUGGCUAAUCCUGGUCGGACAUCAGGAGGUUAGUGCAAUGGCAUAAGCCAGCUUGACUGCGAGCGUGACGGCGCGAGCAGGUGCGAAAGCAGGUCAUAGUGAUCCGGUGGUUCUGAAUGGAAGGGCCAUCGCUCAACGGAUAAAAGGUACUCCGGGGAUAACAGGCUGAUACCGCCCAAGAGUUCAUAUCGACGGCGGUGUUUGGCACCUCGAUGUCGGCUCAUCACAUCCUGGGGCUGAAGUAGGUCCCAAGGGUAUGGCUGUUCGCCAUUUAAAGUGGUACGCGAGCUGGGUUUAGAACGUCGUGAGACAGUUCGGUCCCUAUCUGCCGUGGGCGCUGGAGAACUGAGGGGGGCUGCUCCUAGUACGAGAGGACCGGAGUGGACGCAUCACUGGUGUUCGGGUUGUCAUGCCAAUGGCACUGCCCGGUAGCUAAAUGCGGAAGAGAUAAGUGCUGAAAGCAUCUAAGCACGAAACUUGCCCCGAGAUGAGUUCUCCCUGAGACUUAGAGUCUCCUGAAGGAACGUUGAAGACGACGACGUUGAUAGGCCGGGUGUGUAAGCGCAGCGAUGCGUUGAGCUAACCGGUACUAAUGAACCGUGAGGCUUAACCUU